rnacentral:sRNA from 1 species
GGAAUAUGAUAUUUUGGUAGAUGAUAGGAAGUAUUGGACAGCACACAUCACUAGUGCAAUAGCUGUAAGAACAAGUGAUUAACAAGUGAUUCCCAAUUAAACACAUCUUUUUUAUUUUUAAUUUUCUAGGAAACAUAAGAAUGUGCUUCAUUUAUACAAACAAAAGGACUAAAAAUGCUGUUAAUCAAAUUCAAAAUAUACUAUUUAUUAAGAUGAGUUCUAUGAGUUUAUACAUUUUUAUGUGUCAUAGGAUUGAACUGAUUUUCACCUUACCACAAAAUUUAAAACUAUUGCAAACCUUUAUAAAUUUUACCUCUUUUUAAAGAUAUCUAACUGAUUUUGAGCCAAUUCAAUGCCUGGGACGUGGUGGCUUUGGAGUUGUUUUUGAAGCUAAAAACAAAGUAGAUGACUGCAAUUAUGCUAUCAAGAGGAUCCGUCUCCCCAAUAGGGAAUUGGCUCGGGAAAAGGUAAUGCGAGAAGUUAAAGCCUUAGCCAAGCUUGAACACCCAGGCAUUGUUAGGUAUUUCAAUGCCUGGCUUGAAGCACCACCAGAGAAGUGGCAAGAAAAGAUGGAUGAAAUUUGGCUGAAAGACGAAAGCACAGACUGGCCACUCAGCUCUCCUAGCCCAAUGGAUGCACCAUCAGUUAAAAUACGCAGAAUG